AGAAAAAGCAGCGGAUUUGUCCCCACGUAAUAGCUCUAUUCUUCCUUUACUAAGUUUCGGUUCCUCGCUUCAAUAAGAUAUAAAUUUAGACGCUGUGAGGCAUAUUCAACUUAUACCAACCAGCCAACUAUACAGGAUGAAUGCGAAAGCUUUGUUGUGUUUGCUCGUUGUCUGCAUGCUGCUGGUUGACUUCAGCGAGUCGUAUCGUCGACGUUUUUACUACAGACGCCGUUUUUACUAUCGUCGCCGUUAUUUCUACAGAAGACGUUAUUACUGGACUAGAAGACGUUGUUAUUUCUUUGGCGACGAAGAGCAUGGUGAGGAACAACCGCAAGAAGAUCAAGUAAAUGAAGAGCCAAAUGAAAACAUGGAUGAAGUCGAGGACUUACGUGCGGAAAUACCAAAAGAGUAGAAAUUUGGCACAUCUGCCGCAGCACUAUGGAUGUUCGCUCUAAUAAAUGCACUGCAAAAAUAAAAUAAAAAUCUGAGCUCUUAA